CCAAUAGCGUAUAUUAAAGUUGUUGCAGUUAAAAAGCUCGUAGUUGAAUUUCGGGAUCAAAUUGUCGGUCGUGCCUCGGUACGCACUGGUAUUAUUGGUUCCUACCUUCUGAAGAACCGCGAUGUCAUUAAUUUGGUGUCGUGGGGAAUCAGGACUGUUACUUUGAAAAAAUUAGAGUGUUUAAAGCAGGCUUACGCUUGAAUACAUUAGCAUGGAAUAAUGAAAUAGGACGUUUGAUUCUAUUUUGUUGGUUUCUAGGAUUGACGUAAUGAUUAAUAGGGAUGGUUGGGGGCAUUAGUAUUCAAUUGUCAGAGGUGAAAUUCUUGGAUUUAUUGAAGACUAACUACUGCGAAAGCAUUUGCCAAGGAUGUUUUCAUUAAUCAAGAACGAAAGUUAGGGGAUCGAAGACGAUCAGAUACCGUCGUAGUCUUAACCAUAAACUAUGCCGACUAGGGAUCGGAUGAUGUUAAUUUUUUAAUGACUCAUUCGGCGCCUUACA
rnacentral:rRNA from 1 species